UUUCACUUUAACCGUACUCUUGCAAAAUGAGAUCUUGAGUUUGAUUUUUCUCUCAUCUUUUGCAUAAAAAAAAAAAAAAAAAAAAAAGAGAAACCACGUACAUGGACAUGCACGUAGUCUCGUUUCCCAGGCUUACAUUGGGCUGAAUUCAAUUUUCAUCAAUCUUUAUUUCUGACUAUUUUUACAAGUUUUGGAACAAGAGAAUAAAUGGAAAUCUUCAAAUAUAUUUGAACUUUGUUUCCUUAUCUUACGGUGUUCCCUUUUUUUUUUGUGCAUUGUCAUCCCAAAUACAUUGAAUGGUCAUCAAGCACAUUGUAUUGGUUCACCCAAAAAUGGAAAACAAAAACAAAAGGAAAAAUGGAAAACAAAAAUCUCACCCAAAGAAGGAAAACAAAAACCAAAACAAAAACAAAAACGAUGGGCAAAGAAUUCGAAAACCUAAACCUAACCCUAUCCCCCUCUCCUUCACCAAGCCUCCACCCUCCCUAUAAAUGGACCCCAAGAUUGAGUGUUUGUGCACGAACGAAAAGUGAGUAUAGUCUUCUAGUGUGUAAUAUCGGGGUUAAUUUAAGCACAGUUCGAAUGUGGAGGGUAGCUUCAGAAACUCUAGAUGAUGGUGAAGACGAGGCUGAUGAAGAACACCUUAUGAUUCUCUAAUAUCGAAUCGAUGAUUUACCAGAGAACUGCAUAAGAGCGAGCCGGUCGGAAAAGCUGUUCAGGUUGCACUGGUGAUGCAAGAGUUGCACUUGUUGUCUCUCGGCUGCCUCAACUGUCGAGCUACAGGGACUGCAGCUGCCGCACUUGUGUCGACUUCAUGCACAAUGCCAAACCCUAAAAGCUCCCUACCGCAGAACUCAGCAUCUCCUUGCAUGUUUUGGCUCAGCUAGCUGGUCCUCCUGCUUGUAAAGAUAGAUGAUCACACAGAAUUUUAUUCGCGUGUGUGUGGAUAUAUCCACGCAUAUACAUAGUGCAUGCAGUACUCGUAAAGAUAGCGUAAACAAAAGAGUAAUGCUAUUUAUACUAUGUUUUUGUACCACAUUUUCAUAUCACUUUAGAUGAUAUCAUUUGAAUUAAUCAGAUUUUUAAAUUUAAUUCAUUAUUUAAUAAAUUAA